rfam:Mus musculus chromosome 13, GRC primary reference assembly.
UCCCCUGGCACUGGGCAAAGAGACAACUUGUUAGUGGUGUUCUUCUUAUAUUAGUUAAGGGCAGAGUAGAUGGCAUUCCUUUGUUCAUCCUAUCUUGAUGCCCGGCUUGAUGACUCUUAAUCAGGGUUUCUAUUCCUGCACAGACAU